rnacentral:rRNA from 1 species
GGCGGACGGGUGAGUAACGCAUAAAGAACUUGCCCUUUAGACUGGGAUAACAGAGGGAAACUUCUGAUAAUACUGGAUAAGUUAGUAUAUCUCAUGAUAUGCAAAUGAAAGCUACGGCACUAAAGGAGAGCUUUGCGUCCUAUUAGCUAGUUGGUAAGGUAAGAGCUUACCAAGGCGAUGAUAGGUAGCCGGCCUGAGAGGGUGGACGGCCACAAGGGGACUGAGAUACGGCCCUUACUCCUACGGGAGGCAGCAGCC